GAUGAACGCUAGCGAUAGGCCUAACACAUGCAAGUCGAGGGGCAUCACAUGAAGUAGCAAUACGGAUGGUGGCGACCGGCGCACGGGUGAGUAACACGUAUGCAACCUGCCUUCAACAAGGGGAUAACCCGUUGAAAAGACGGACUAAUACCCUAUAACACAGGGGUCCCGCAUGGGAAUAUUUGUUAAAGGACAACCGGUUGAAGAUGGGCAUGCGUUCCAUUAGCUAGUUGGCGGGGUAACGGCCCACCAAGGCAACGAUGGAUAGGGGAACUGAGAGGUUUAUCCCCCACACUGGUACUGAGACACGGACCAGACUCCUACGGGAGGCAGCAGUGAGGAAUAUGGUCAAUGGACGCAAGUCUGAACCAGCCAACGUCGCGUGAAGGAAGACGGCCCUACGGGUUGUAAACUUCUUUUAUACGGGAAUAAAGUGCCCCACGCGUGGGGUUUUGCAUGUACCGUAUGAAUAAGGAUCGGCUAACUCCCGUGCCAGCAGCCGCGGUAAA
rnacentral:rRNA from 1 species